ensembl:lncRNA
UUUAUACUGUUGCCAUGCCCAUCAAGGCCCUGAUUGGUGAACCGCUGACCCAUUCAUAGCUUAUAACAUACAGUAUUUUCAACUGACAAACAUGAUUACAUUUUCAUUUACCCUGAAAUGAUUAUUCAACAUGUCCUCUCCUGGGAUUUGAACUCACAACCACUUGGUUUGCGGUACUCCGAUCUUCCUGCUACGCCACCAUGACUGUGUAAGUUGUAGGCCCUAACAGCUUUAUGUAGGCCCUAACAGCUCUAAGUAGGCCCUGACAGCUUUAUGUCGGUCCUAACAGCUCUACGUAGGCCCUAACAGCUUUAUGUAGGCCCUAACAGCUUUAUGUCGGCCCUGACAGCUUUAUGUAGGCCCUAACAGCUUUAUGUCGGUCCUAACAGCUCUACGUAGGCCCUAACAGCUUUAUGUAGGCCCUGACAGCUUUAUGUCGGCCCUGACAGCUUUAUGUCGGCCCUAACAGCUCUACGUAGGCCCUAACAGCUUUAUGUAGGCCCUGACAGCUUUAUGUCGGCCCUAACAGCUUUAUGUAGGCCCUAACAGCUCUACGUAGGCCCUAACAGCUUUAUGUAGGCCCUAACAGCUCUACGUAGGCCCUGACAGCUUUAUGUCGGCCCUAACAGCUUUAUGUAGGCCCUAACAGCUCUACAUAGGCCCUGACAGCUUUAUGCAGGCCCUAACAGCUUUAUGUAGGCUCUAACAGCUUUAUGUUGGCCCUAACAGCUUUAUGUAGGCUCUAACAGCUUUAUGUUGGCUCUAACAGCUUUAUGUCGGCCCUAACAGCUUUAUGUAGGCCCUAACAGCUUUAUGUAGGCCCUAACAGCUCCAUGUAGGCCCUAACAGUUUGUGGGCACCGUUUGUCACCGUUAUAGUGUAAUUAAUGCAUUGUUUAGUGUUGUGUAGUGGCUUUGCUGGCAUGCAUCUAAAACAAUUUUUUGGGAGUUUGCCCCACCAAGAUUUACAUGCUAAAAUCGCCACUGAUUACCAUGUAUAUUAAACUAUGGUGAAUCGCUGUAUGUUUCAAUGCUGUAUGUACCAUCAGUGCCACAUCUGUUUUGAGCCCCACCUGUUUAGCAAAAACAAUAUAUAUGUUUUGCCUUUUUUUAAUGUUAUUUUAUCACAUAACAGUUUGCAAACAAUGUACAAAAGAAAGAGUUAAUAAAGACAUAAAUAAAUAAUAAAGACAAGACUCUUUGUUGAGUAAGGCUCCAACAUGCAGGUGUUUCAGCCCCGCUCAGGGCUUCCUGUGGUGGAGGGCAGCCAGCGGAUAAUGCGGAGCGCAAGGGUUGGUUAUGUUCUCUAGUUGACCCAUGAUAGGCUCAGUGUUCUGUCACUCAUGGGGACACAAAUUUUGAAUAAGAUUUUACCAACUUUACCAACACGUAUCCUUAGUUUUUGUCAAAAUUGCUCAAGCUCAGAAAACGGUGUUGGGAAUCAUUGGCAGACAGCAAUGUUCAAACCUUGUCUUUGAU